GUCCGAGAGCUUUGUGUGGACCAUCCGUAUAGGUCAGACGCUUGUGCGGCUAUGAGCAACCAGAGAAGACUUUUAAAUAUAUAUUCUUAAUUAUGGAGUUUGACUACCCACACUCAGAUAUUGGGUUUGGAAACCUAGAAGUGGUAGAUUAGAUCUAUUACUAAAUGCUAUUUUUGGUUCACAUGCUUGUCAUUUUAGAUUAAGAUUUUUAUGCAUAUAAAUUUAUGUCA
rnacentral:lncRNA from 1 species